rnacentral:rRNA from 1 species
ACUUAAAUUGAAGAGUUUGAUCAUGGCUCAGAUUGAACGCUGGCGGCAGGCCUAACACAUGCAAGUCGAGCGGUAGCACAGAGAGCUUGCUCUCGGGUGACGAGCGGCGGACGGGUGAGUAAUGUCUGGGAAACUGCCUGAUGGAGGGGGAUAACUACUGGAAACGGUAGCUAAUACCGCAUAAUGUCGCAAGACCAAAGUGGGGGACCUUCGGGCCUCAUGCCAUCAGAUGUGCCCAGAUGGGAUUAGCUAGGUAGGUGGGGUAACGGCUC